rnacentral:lncRNA from 1 species
UCCCGCCGCGCUUCCGGGAACCAUUCUUCUACGAGCCCUCAGCAGGACUCGCGGCAGCCUUACCUGCAAGUUCAGGCGCCAAGCGCCGUUCCUCGGCCAUGGCACGCUUGUGUGCCAAGGCAUAGAGCUCAUGCGUCAUCCGGAUCCGAUGCGUGCUCAACUUCUUGUAACAUCCCAAAAUUUCAAACCUUUACAUGUGCAUUGCAUCCAUGAGCAUCAUGCCACAAUUGCAUGUUUGAAUUCAAAUUUUGAAUCACAAAAGGCUUUAAGAGAUUUUGUUUACAUCCCUGUAACCUUUGGAUUUUCAAACCAAUAGGGUUGAUGUAUAAAAAGGGUUUAAUGCAUAUAUAAGCUAUCCCAUAAUUUUUGGUUAACUAAUUGGAGUUGAAAAAGUAUUUUAUUCAAACAGAUAUAUAGCCCUAAAGUCAUUUAUAGGGCAAAUGUAUUUUUAUAUAUUUUAUUUUGAAGAGAAACUACUUCCAAAAGUUGUAUCAUGGUAGAACAUGAUUUUACAAAUUUUCUGGAAUUUAUUUGGACCAAUUUGGAGUUCAAACAAAAAAGAUAUCAAAGAAAUGAGAAAAACAGAAAAAGAAAAGGCCUAAAAGAAAAAAAAAGGGUAAACCGGACCGGACCGGCCAAAAUGGGCCAGAUCGCC